GUUACCUCCCCGAUACUGGUGACAGGAAGGGGGUGAACCAAUGGACUUCUUAAUCAGCUUUACAAUCUCUGUUAUGGCAGGAAUAGUUAGUUAUUAUUUUUGCAAAUGGCUAGACAGGAGAUUUAAGGGUAACUAGCCUAAUAUGGAGGUAGCUCUCCAAAAAAAGCAGAAACCCCACAGCUGCAACUGUGGGGUUUCGUUGUCCCAAU
rnacentral:sRNA from 1 species